ensembl:lincRNA
GUUAAUUUUUAUUAUCAAAAAAACAAAAUCAGUCAUAACAUCACAAUGCUUUAAGGGUCAUGAGCACCUCAUAGAACACAGCAAGAAGUAAAACUCUUCAAAGUACUUUAACUUGUAAUGACAAAAUAUUAAAAAAAUACUCUGUUCUGAUGUCACUGGUUUUAAGUGCUGUGUUGUCCAUUUUUGUUUUUUUAAAACAAGUUUAGUCUUGAGAAGCUACGCGCCUCUCUGGUUCCAGAAACUGGCAAACUUUAAAAGAGUUAAAAGUUCACAGAGCUCCGGAGAUGUCUGGAGAACGGUCCGAGAGAUCACGUUCACAGACCUCAGCACCUCUUCGGAAGUGUAGUGGUUCUUGAAGUCGCAUCAAAGAGCCGAAGAGUUCAUUACGCCAAUUAGCAGCGUUUGAUCCGAGAGUUGCUCUCGACACAUUUUAUACACAUAUCACGUCCACAGCUAAAUAGCGACUCCAGCUCCGAGAUCUGUCCAGAUCUUUCCUCAGCAGCCUCCAUCACAGAAGGAAGACGAAGUCCCCUUGUUUCAGGGCUCUGAAUGAGUGACCUCAUGUAUUACAGGACCACCAGUUCGAACAAAGCAAAGGGCGUAAUUAUCCAGCCCCCCCCUCUAGCUGAGGUUUAAUAACACUUAAGGAUUCUCACAUUUUUGGAUUUAUAAGGCUGAAAGAUGCGAUUUUUUUCUUCUUUGGCACCAAGAAAUGAUUGCCCACAAUUCUCUGCUAUCUGCUACCCAUCUACAUUCAAGGGUGAAGGCAGCAGCUAUAAUAGAGACAAAAAUCCUCACAGGUCUUCAACCCUGGUCCUGAAGAACCUCAACCCAGUUCGCGAAGUCUGUGACCUCUGGUCCAGUCAGUCCAGGAGGUCUGUGACCUCUGGUCCAGUCAGUCCAGGGGGUCUGUGUCCCUGGCCCAGUCAGUCCAGGGGGUCUGUGUCCCUGGCCCAGUCAGUCCAGGGGGUCUGUGUCCCUAUGUGACCCUGUGUAUAUUUUGUUGCCUGCUGAGACACACCUGUUUCUCGUUGCUUUUCGGGAAUAAGCCCUUUCCACCCGCGGGUCAGCUGGUUUCUCUCGGCGGCCAUCUUGGUCAGGUCUACAUCAAGUAUAUUGAGCAGAUCAGAUCGUUCCCGAAAUAUCGGUCCUCGAUGACCCUUCCCCUGGCCCUCUUACACAGCUCAUCAACAACAAUCUUCGAUCGCUAAUCGCUAAGCACGAUUCCACCUGAGUAGUUGGCAACGGCUCCGUUUCAACCGAAGUACCCCCUCGGAAUUUCAGGUUUUUCUCCCCCUGUCUCCCAUGUAAGAGACUAACAUGCUUCAUGCGUCUUGUUUAGUUCCAGACUGGGCCAAAAACACCCCCCCCCCCCGUCAUAAACAGCGUCAGAGGGCCGCUUCACCUCGCCAGAAGUCUCGCUGUCUCGUUCCGCAUCGCAGGGGCAAACCUGGACAUGUUGUCCAUUUUUGUGAUGGGACACUGCGACGUGCAAAAACCUUCAAUUGACAUUUUGGUUUUGAAAUGCACUCGUCGUCGCCGAGUGCUCUUCCUAACCCCAAACCAGAGCUUCUCUCUCUUCUUCAUAGUAAUACAUAAUAUGCCGUCUGUUAUAUCAGUGCUAGAUUAGUUUUAGAACUACCUGGAGGCGUUAGACAGGGCUGUGCGAAAUAUGCAGGAACAACACAGCUGCACUUAUGGUGAAAAGCGCCUAAUUCUACUUAACGUUCCUGAUAUAGUGCUGCAGACGAGAUCAGACCACUUUCUUGGCCCUAUACAAUGUCUUGCAUGAGGAAUCGGUCUUGUCGCAGACCCCAGCUGGCUCUCCAGGAGACACACAGACAGGGAGAGAGAGAAGCUGGGGGUGAGAGCGCAGGGGCAGACAUUGUACAGCGCCACCUGGAUCAGCUGGGGUUCAGGGCCUCGCUCAGGGGGGCCCCAACAGAGUAGGAUUCCUCUGCCGGCCGCGGGAUUUGAACCGGCAAACCCCUCCCAGCCCCAGGCGCAGAUCCUGAGCCACAGCUCCACCCCGGUUUAGCCUAUCUCGAGCCACUAGACAACUAUACGUCCUACGCUCUCCAAUCUACAACUUUCCCGGCUACACCACUCCUCUGGAACUGGGGCUCCGGAUCUCCCAGAGGCUGUGCCGGUCUGAGAACACCGCUGCCAUCCUCACCGAAGCCCACCAGCGCCUUCGCAUCCUGCGCCGGUUCAGGAAGUGGGGGAUGAGCAAGUCAACACUCACCAGUUUUUACCGUAGUACCACUGCGAGUGUCCUGACCGGUGGUAUUAUGGUGUGGUAUGGCAGUUACCACACAGCUAACUGCCCCCGAGUGCCCAGACACCUACCACACAGGUAACUGCCCCCGAGUGCCCAGACACCUACCACACAGGUAACUGCCCCCGCGUGCCCAGACACCUACCACACAGGUAACUGCCCCCGCGUGCCCAGACACCUACCACACAGGUAACUGCCCCCGAGUGCCCAGACACCUACCACACAGGUAACUGCCCCCGAGUGCCCAGACACCUACCACAC